CCCUUAGAUGUUCUGGGCCGCACGCGCGCUACACUGACGAAGUCAGCGAGCAUGUCCUACGCCGACAGGUGCGGGGAAUCUUGUCAAACUUCGUCGUGAUGGGGAUUGAUUAUUGAAAUUCUUGAUCAUCAACGAGGAAUUCCUAGUAAGCGCAAGUCAGCAGCUUGCGUUGAUUACGUCCCUGCCCUUUGUACACACCGCCCGUCGCUACUACCGAUUGAAUGGUUUAGUGAGAUCUUCGGAUUGGCGCCACUGCGGCUCAGCAAUGGGCUCGGUGGAUGCCGAAAAGUUGGUCAAACUUGAUCAUUUAGAGGAAGUAAAAGUCGUAACA
rnacentral:rRNA from 1 species